GUGGACUCACUCUGCAUCCGGCCACAACCCUAAGCACGUGCCUUUUCCGUCGACCACAGCAGUGUUCCUGGGUGCCGUGGCCACUUGGACCCAAACUGUCCUUUGGUGUGACUGCCCCCGGGCACCCAGGG
ensembl:snoRNA